rnacentral:misc_RNA from 1 species
GAAGUCGUUACUCCAACCCUUGUGGAGGAGGACGUCGAAGGUGGGGCUGAUGACUGGGGUGAAGUCGUAACAAGGUAGCCGUACCGGAAGGUGCGGCUGGAUCACCUCCUAACAGGGAGACAAACAACGAUUUUGAUGUCUGAGUAAUUUAUUCUUAGGCCGAAAUCCUGUCACCUUAGGUCGAUCGGUACCUCAGCGUUGAAGCAACAGAGUUAACAGAGAUGUUGAUGCGUGUUGUGGAGAUGAUCAGUUCCUAAACUUUGUCUAGGUCACACCCCACAAGGGUUGAGUUUUCCUGGGCCAUUAGCUCAGGUGGUUAGAGCGCACCCCUGAUAAGGGUGAGGUCCCUGGUUCAAGUCCAGGAUGGCCCAUUCGGUGUUGGGGGUUUAGCUCAGUUGGUAGAGCGCCUGCUUUGCAAGCAGGAUGUCAGGAGUUCGAGUCUCCUAACCUCCACUGACCGAACUCAAUCUCCGGUUUUGCAUUGAAAGAUGGAGAGCCACUCGAUUGUGAUGUGUGAUUUAGAUGUGUCCGCUGGAUGACCCCAGCUUCCUGUCAUUCCAAAUUGAAGUAAAGGAUUUUACUUGAACGAAUUUGGUUGAUAAGAUGCUGGGCUCGAGUUCAGUGAUCAAGAGAUUGGUCAUUGGAUUUGAAGUCUGGCAGAACCUUGACAACUGCAUAGGUAAGUCUGGAAAAACAAAGCAUCUUACAGAUGCAUUGUUUUGAAUCUGAUCUUCUGAAAAGGAGAUUAGAUCUAGAACAAUGAAAAUUCUUUUGAGCAAGAGCCGAGACUCUUGAGCGUUCUUUGAUUCGUGUCGAGCGAAUCAGUGUUUGAUCUUGUUUUAGGAAUCAGCGAAAGUUGAUGAUUAAAACUUGAGAAUCUGCUUUCAACGGCGGUAAGCGUUCAGGAGAUUAAUUGGUCAAGCUACAAAGGGCUCACGGCGGAUACCUUGGCACACAGAGGCGAUGAA